CCGCUGCUUUCCCUCCCCGGCUCCGCCUGCUGCCGCCGCAACCCCCACAGCCAGUCAGCCACUCUCGCGAGAUCUGCGGGAGAGACGAGACAGACGAGACCCGGUAACAGGGCACUGACUCCCCAGUACAGUAGCAGGGCGCCCUACUGUACGCGCCCACCCGCCCGCCGGCACGUGACCUGCGCCCCCUCCCCGCUGCCAGCCCCCCGUCCGCCCGCCCGCCAGGCGGCGCCCACCCACCAGCCCUCACCCUACAACCCUGGCUGGGUGGGGGAGAGGGAGCAGGACGCGCCGCGUCGCAGCUGCUGCUACCGCCACCACUGCUACCACCACCACCACCGUGGCUGUCGCUGUUGGCCAGACCCUAGGCGGCCUCGGCCUGGGGAGUUAGGGGACUAGGGGUGAGAAGGAGUCUGCCAUACUAAGCACAGGGAGUGGGCCUAAGCUCUGCUUUCCAGUGACCCCCUAAAGAGGAUGUGGGGGGAGGGGCCUGCGCAGCGCAGCAGAGCCCGCUGCAGAGAGGGGACACCGAGUCACGGCCACCCCCUCUCAUGCGGGCCUGAGUCAGAUCCAAACCCAAACCUAGACAGGCCCGCCCGCCACCCGGCUGGGUUGUCUCCUACCGCACAGCCCUGGCCGCUGAGGCAGGCGAGGAAGAGAGGUGGUGCGGUGGUAACCCUUAGCUGCAGAGGGGGCUACUGGGGAUGAGGACGGGGCGCCGGCAGCAGUGGCGCGGAGCAGCAGACACCUAGCCUGUCCCUCCCCUCUCCCUCCUCUCGCUCCCGCCGCUCCCCCUCCCCGCGCACACGGCAGUGGCUCUGGCCUCAGAUGAUCCCGCUCCCCCCUCCCCCCAACCGCAGCCCCGCACGGUCGGGCGGGCGGGCGCACUCACCGAUGGGGGGAGCCCAGCAGAGGACAGUAGACGCACCAGGGCUAGGGUGCCCGCAGUGCCUGUUCCCGUCGACUCUGCCCUUCCCCACAUGCAACAAUCAAAAAGAAACCCCACACUCACCCAAAAACCUGCAGCCAGUCCCCCCUGGGAUCAAGACUGCCUGCCUGCCCGCCCGCCUCCCCCUCCUCCUCCUGAGAUUUGGGGAAGGGGGCACCCUGCUCAGGGUUGAGCCCAGCCUGGGUUGCUGGCCAGCUCUGCGGAUGAACCAGGCCCUGUGAGCAUUCAGACCCUAGCCCACUCUUCUUCCUUUCUGGAAGGACCCAGAAUGGAGGAGAAAACCAAGCAGGCUUUCGGAAAUUCAUGAGCUAAAAAUGUCAGGAAUUUCCUGGGAAACGCAGUUCCUUACGGGAUUCAUUAAAGCAGGUUCGCUUGCCCCUUUUACUCUUCCUCCCAGAAACUUCUGUCAAGGAGAGACCCACUCCCAAAAGUAAAACAUUAAAUGGUCGCUGGUUUUUAUGCAGACAGCUAGGUUGCUGACCAUUAAUUAACCAGUGAGUCUUCGGACGGUGAUAGCUAAAAGGGAUCUUCUCUGGUGUUAGAAAGGGGCUCAGGAGUAGAGGAGGGGCUCAGAGAUUAACUGACUUCUCUUUUACUAGACCUGAUGUAUAACCUAGGGCCUAUUUCCAGAUAGUAUUGAGUGCUCAUACUCUCUCACUGCAGUCUACAGCGCUGGCACUGUGGGAAAGCUAAGGCCUAUCUCCAGGGGACCCCCGCCAAUGCUUCCACACUCUCCCCCAUCACCUUCUACAGGCAGCUGAGAGGAUAUAGAUCACACAGCUCUGCCCCUGGCUUUCUCAAGCACAGAUCGUUACCUCUAUCCUGAGAAAAGUAUACCUAUUCCAUUUGCGGGUUCUAUUCCCAUUGAGCAUCUCCUUCUUCCCCCAAAAGUAAGAAGACUUGCCUCCCUCACUCUUAGCCGGAGGGACAACUGGGAAUAUGGUUGCCCAGCUUCCUAGAAAAGAGUGGACUAACGAUCAAGAAACCAAGAGCAGCCUAGAGAAUAAGCCUUGAUUCCUGAACCCUCAAAGCUCCCUUACCAUAUCCCUUCACCUCCUGAACAAACUUGCCUGCUAAGUAUUCAUUCACAGCUUCCUUUUUCUCUUAGCAAGAGCCCCAUUCUACUCAGCAUUAGCUGCUUCAGCCCUGGGCUGAAGUUUGUGACUUCCCACUGAAAAGAAACAAGAAGCACCUGGCCACGAAGGAGCAAACAGGCACAGUCCUGUGCACCCGUCUCAGAACCACCCACCUAUGCCAGUGGUCCCUGAAAUGGCUCUCUGAAGGGAAGGCCCCACACUAAGAGAUAAAAAACCUAGUCUUUGGGCCCCAUAAAGAAUUUCCCCUUAUUUGGGGGGCAACCUCUAGUACCCUGUAGUACUCUUUCCGUGCUGAUUUUUUUCUGCACUCCCUCCCCUGUCCCAAAGUCUAUUGGGAAAGGGACACAGGAACUUUUGAAGCACUUUCAACUGCACAGAAAUACAUGUGUGAAGAAGCAGUAGCUCCUCCAGACUCAAACAGUAGUAAUCAGGACCCUGGAUAGACCCCAGCCUCUCCAGGGACAAAAAGGCUGAGUAGCAGGCUCUCCACAGAGAAUGGUGUGGGGCAUUACGCUUCACUUGUAAACUGAGGCUAAGAUCUGGUAUAAUCCGAUCUAGAAGGGCUGCUGCUCUUCCUCAAGAGUUUACCUCGAGUCAAACCAAGCCCCUGCUCCCUAAUGAGAACUCAAGGCAGCAAAAAGGCCAACAAGAAUACGAUGAGGGCCCCACCUACCCCCGCCAGUCCCUGCCUUUCCUCUGUGCUGACUGCUGCCCCCAGGACGGAAGACUUAAGACUCGAAACUGCCCGCUUUCCUAUCCCAACUUCCAGUCUAAAUUUUCUUGCCCUCCGUCCUAGACGUCUAUAUACAGGGAUUCUGAAGUGAUUUGAGUUUGGAAGUGCCCUGUUUUUCUGAAAAAAUGACUGCCACCAAGAACUGACUUCUUAGUUCCCCAGCGCAGAGGCAACUGAUGAAGUUUCUAGACAGAACACAAGUUGAAUAUCAUUUGUACACUUAAACUGGGAAUUUUAAGCUCAAAUCAGCAAAUGACUGGGACCUAGAUCUCUCCACAUAAAUACGUAUUUAUUUUAUUCUAUUCAUUAUAUAUGUAUAAAACUUUUGCCCUUAUAUGUCAGCUUCUCUCCCACUUUAUAAGAGUAUCUAAAAAGCAAACAAGAUAAACAAUGCCAUUUCCAAAAUCAUUCAGUGAUAAAUAGGAUUUUUAGCAUAUUUUCACUACUGAAACGAGAGUUAAUUUCAGAAUAAGCCUGUAAGUGUGGGCUUUUUCUCAGACUAAGGAGGUGAAAGGCAGCUUUCCUUGGGCUAUAGUGUACAGUAGCCUUAAAAGGCAAUCUGGGAGAAAUGAACAUAAACUUCCCCAAAAGUCUUAAAACCAAAAGUUUAAACUUUAAAUAAAACUUCACAGUUAUAUUUGCAUUUUAACACUGAAAAGUCAUUAGAAAAUAAGUGGAUUUUAAGACUUCUAACCAUUCGUUAAUUAUCUAAACAAUAUACUAACUUCGUGAAUGAAAAGUCUGUUCUAGUAUCCAGAUGUUUGAAUUUGUUACUGUAAAACAAAUAGUUGUAAAACUAAAUGUAUAAUUUCAUUACAAUGUAGGAAAGACAAAAGGAAAACGAAAUAUACAGCAAAUUAACAUGCAGCAAAAAUCCAUGUUAAUGAAAAACUUGUGAAAAAGUAAACAUUUCCUUUCUCCUCAAAAUAUGCUUACAUUUUAAAGACAAUGUCUCUAGAUUUCUUGAGCCCUUUUAUUAUUAAUACAACAGACACAUUUUAAAGAGAAUAGAGACUGCUUUAUUUUUAAUCCCCGUCUCUAUGUAUUUAACAAACUCUUACCAACAAAAAAUUGUGCGCAAAGAAAUAGACAUUAGGCAGAACAAAAAGGAAAAAAAGCUUUAAUUUUCUUCAGCCUGAACUACAAGUGAUUCUGAAAUAAUCUAAUUCAGCUUUGGUUUUAUAAAGUAAAAAUCAACACACAUUUGUAAAAUAGACUUGGAAAGAGGUUGUCUACCUCUGGGUAGUAAACCCUUUUGAUUAUAGAGCUCCUAAUAGAAACAAUAUGUUGAUUAAUAUUUUACAAAAUCACAAAUUUCCAAAAUAAUGAACAUUAGAGCUUGUGUUUUCAAGUGAUACUUAGGUUAAAUACCAAUCUUAAACCAGACAACUAUCUUCAAUACCCAAAUCAUUAAAACUAACUGGGAUGUUAUACUGUAAAUGUUCAAAGUGAAGGAAUUAGCCAUUUCUUCUCAUGACUAUCUACCAAAAAAAUUGAGAAACUCUCAAAUAAAUCUUAACAUUUAACAACAACGACUAAUAGUAACAGCAUUUCCCAGAUCGUUCUUUAAAAGCGUAUCCCUUUUCUAUAGUUCACUUAAUCUUGAAAAUCAUGCCUCUUCAAUGCUAUUUUAAUGUUUAGGAAUAAAGAUAUGAAGUAAACAUUUAAAAUAUGAAGAGAACAAUCCACUUGAUAAAAAUCCUCGCAUUUCCAAAAUGUUUUCAUUUUAAGCAUUUGCAGAAGAGUUAAAUAAACGUAGCAGACAUUCUAAAUUCGAUAAAAGAUUCAGAGAACCCGACAUUUUAUGUACUCCAAAGGUCCAAACAGAACCGAUGUAAAUGUCAAUAGCUGUCUCCCUUCCGGCUGAUACUUAAAUGGUUUUACUAGUACUCAAAGCAAUGAAAUCAGCAACUCUCUCUCCACACUCUAGUCAACACUUCAAUUUCCAAAGCCGCAAUUCGCAAACGUCAGUUGGGCGGGGGCGGUGGGAGAUCUUGAAGUAAUCCAAAAAUUUCCUUUCCCCUUUGACAGUCCACCAAAAGAUGUCAAACCAAAUCCAGCCUAUUGUAAAGCUCUGGGACCUCCCUUCCAAGGACACCGAACACAAACAUAGACACCGCUGCGAAAAGCUGUCCAAAAGCGCCUGGCCGGCCAGAAAUGGAGUGUCAGCCACGUCUAGCGCACAGUCCCAGGCCCCAGGGCGAAGGCGGCCAGGGGAAAUGGGGCUCAGGGAUUGCUAAGGAAACGCAUCACUGGUGGUCUCCAGCGCCUGCGGAGGUAGGAUCGUCUCUUUUCUUAAGGGGCGUGUUAUUUUGUUCUCUUUUGGAAGUAGGAGGGGGUUCAUUCGUUUCUCGCUGCGGGGGGUGGGGGAGAACGUUGCUGCACCGCCUGGGUCUCCAAGAGGGAGGGUGCGGGGAUGUCUGCAAUGGUACUAUAAUUAUUCCUGUGCUGAGAGGGCAAGUAGAGGGGACGGGGCGGGCGGCACCUCGAGCUGUGGCAGUGGCAGCAGGGAAGGUCGCGAGGGGCUUACCCGGGCGGGCGGGCGCUGUCCUGCCGCAGGUGAGGGAGGGCGCAGGCUGGCGGGAGGGAGGGCGCGCGCGAGGCAGGCGCGAGGAAGGGGGAGGGGAGGAGGGCGCGCGCGCGCACACCUGUCCUGGACAGCGGCGCUAGCCGAGCUGCGCCUCACUUGGGCUGUGCGGGCUAAGAAGGAAGGAGGGCGGGCUGGCAGGCGGGGGCGGGACGCCGAGGGGAGGAGGAGGAGGCGGCUCGGAUGGCUGGCUCGGCUCUCGCUCGCUCUCCCUCCCGCGGGCAAGUCCGGCUCACACCCUGCUUCUCCCGCUCACUCACAGCCCCCUUGGCUGUCCCUCCUCCUCCUUCCCCUGCGGGAUCCGCUCGCCGCCGCCGCCGCCGCCGCCGACGGCAAGUCGUGGCAGCCAGACGUCGGCGCGUAACCCGGCGCUCCGUGCGUGACUCCAGGCGACGUCAGCGCGCGCUCCGCGUUCCCCACCCCUCCUCCCAACUCCGUGGCUCGCGCCCUUCGCUCUCGCGUCCCUCGGUUUUAGCUGCCGCCGCGGCGGCCGCCGAGCGCGCUCUUUCCGCCCCCCUCGCGCGUGAGCGCGCCCUCUCGGCUGCGGGCGCGUCAACAUUCCGCUGCCCAGGCCUUGAGGCGCGUCUGAGGAGGGGGCUGUCUGUGGCCUCUCCGCCCACACUUCCUCCACCCACCGCCCGCAGCGCCCCAGAAGGACCUAUUACUCUUUGAGCUUCUGAAGGCCGAAGCCAGGCUCAGGCGGGGAUAGAACCCUGAAGGGCCUGCGCCAGCUCCAACUUAGGGCCCUGUGCAUCGCUGCGGCUGCCGCUACCGCCCGAUCACGCCGCACCCCCGCCCCAACUCCGCCGUGUCUCUGAGGAGGCAAUAGGCCUUUCAUCUCCCGGGAAGGUCUCACCUUGGCCCUCAGACACCCGCCGAGAGGGGUUGUAAGGAGAGAAUUAACAUAGAGAAGAGGGGCUAGACCACUUUUCAGGCACUGGCCCCGGGAAUCCUUGACAGGAGGCGUGGGGUUGAUGCCCAGCCUCCCACGCAGUGUAAUAUAUUGAAGCCGGGCCCCUUGGAGGGAAUGCGACUUCCUUGGGCCGAGGGGGAAAGGGUAAAAGUUAAUUUUCAUAAGUUUCUAUGCAAGGGCUAAAUGUGAAAUUAUAAAAUGUCCUUUAAGACAGUCUUCUUGAAAUCGUAUCAAGUUAGACAAGAUUUUUGGUGCACGGUAACGCUUUCCCUCGCUUUCUAUGCUGUCACGUUUCCAUCCUGCAACAGUGAGUACGUAGAUGGAACGUGGAUCAGCUAAUAACUGCAGCAAAAUAAAAACUGCCUUUAUCAUCUUUAUCAGUAUUUAAAUAGACCUCCGAGAAGUCCAACUGUGAUUUAGGAAAACUUAAUCAUUGCCUCAACCUAUUUAACUGUGUUUUGUUUUGAAGUUACUUUGCAGAUACACCCUUUAUUAGGCAAUGGUAGACUUUUAAACUCACUUGUUAGAGGACCUUUUCUAAAAGCCUAUCUAGUUGAGCCUGCGAGGCAAGUAGGACUAAGGUAUAAUUAAUCCCAUUUUACAGAUGAAAACUGAGUCAUCAAAAUGUAAGUCAGUUGUUCAGCGUUGUGAGGAGUCUAUCACUGAUAGAGGGAAAACUCUAAGGUAUAUUAUUGCCUGCUUUAUUCAGUAAACCAGAAAUCUCUCCAUUGUUUUCUUCCAAGUAUCUUUUGCUGCCCCCUUUUAGUAUUGUAGGCAGUGCCUGAUGGCUGAGAAGAAUCGCAGAGGACUAGAAAAGGUUUGAGUGUGAAAUUUUCUGCCACAGAGAAUUAGAGCUCAGAAAUAAGUUAUUGCGAAACAAUUCAACUUCCCUGUUAACGACGACAACAACAACAUCAUGCUUAUUAAUUCCUAGCUGGAGCAUCAAGCUUAUGAAAAUUCCAAGUAAGACUUUAUUGUUGACCCUUGUUGAAGAGAACUCUACUUGGCUUCUUUCCUGGCUUUCCUAAAUUGUUCACAUCCAAGAUAAACUGCCAUCAUUCAGGCUUACAGAAGGGAGAAGACAAGCUGAACCAAAUGUAAAACGGUAGCAAUUUACAGAUGUCAGAACUAACAUGUGGAUGAACUUAGAGAUGGAGAAGAAAGCUGAGUUUUUCCAAAGAGUGGAUGUAUCUGAACUGGAUAGCACUAUUGAAAUUUGUUGCAUAUUUUAUGGUAGCUCUAAAACUCCUUUGCUUGCUUACUUUUAAAUGCAACAUGUUGCUGUACAUAUAUACAACCAGACACCAGUGCCUUCUGAGGCUAAUCCAGGCCAUUUUUGUAACCUAAUGCAGUAGCACUUUGCAGUUAGAUGAAGAAGGUCAGUGGGAUUUCUUUCUGUGGUGAUUAAAAUGUGUCAGGGGAAGAAAUCAAGACAAUACUCCAAGUGAAAAAUGUAAAGUCAGUUAUUUCUUUAAUAUUUUGUGUUAUAGUAAUCAUUUUUAUCUUUUGAGCAUACUUUUUUUGUCUACUUAAAUACUCAAACAAAAUACUCAAAAUUAAUUAUUAAAUGUAAAUGUAACCACAGUGAGAUAUCAUCUCAUCCAAGUUAAAAUGGCUUUUAUCAAAAAGGAAAUAAUGAAUACUGGUGGAAGGAUGUGGAGAAUGGGGAACCCUCAUACACUGUCGGUGGGAAUGUAAAUUAGUACAGCCACUAUGGAAAACUGUAUGGAAGUGCCUCUGAAAACAAAGUAGAACUACCAUAUGAUCCAGCAAUUACAUUAGCGGGUAUAUAUUCAAAAGAAAGGAAAUCAACAUAUCAAAGAGAUAGCUGUACUCCCAUGUUUAAUGAAGUCCUAUUGAAAUAGUCAAAAUAUGGAAUCAACCUAAGUGCCCAUCAGUGGAUGAAUGGUUAAAGAAAAUUGAUUCAUAUGCAAUGGAAUAUUAUUCAGCCAUAAAAAAAAUGAAAUCCUGGCUGGGUGCAGUGGCUCAUGCAUGUAAUCCCAGCACCUACCUCAUGAAGACAGGGAGUAGAUUGGUGGUUACCAGAGGUUGAGAAGGGGAGAGGAGAAGAGGGAUGAAGAGAGGUUGAUUAAUGUAAAUAUACAGUUUGAUAGUGAUAAAUCAGUAGGGUGGCUAUAGUUUAUAACAAUCUAUUGUAUGUUUCAAAAUAGCUAAAAGAGAAUAAUUCAAAUAACAAGACAAAAAUUUAAGAUGAUAGAUAUCCCAAUUACACUGAUUUGAUCUUUACAAAUUAUAUGAAUGUAUUAUUAAGUGUAGCCCCAAACUAUGUACAAGUAUUUUGUAUCAAUAAAAAAUAAAAUUUAAGAUAAAGUAAAUGUAAUGAUUAGCUUAUAUUUCCUAGAUAGGAAAUAUUUACUUAAUAAGUAUGUAUAUGAUGAGUUUUUUUAUAUUACUAUAAAAAUAGACAUCUUACAUAAACAUGUUACAUCUGGUAUUUAGAUGGCUCUUUUUUUUUCUGGCCUUGAACUUCUGGAAAGUAGGUAUGGCCUGCUAUGUUAGGACUAGUUCUUGGAAUCCUUUGUUGUUUUUCAGUCAGCCUUAUUUUCUUGGGUCAUGUUUUGAAAAUA